rnacentral:rRNA from 1 species
AUGGGUGGCACCACGGUGCUCCCGCCGUCUCGGCUCCCGCGCCGGAUCGCCGACGACGACCUGCACUCCUGCUCCUCCCACGUGCGCGUAAACCCCGCCCUGAUGGCGAACCCCGCGGCUGCCAAGAAGCCAAAGCGCCCCGGAUCCGUGCGCGACGUCCAACCGCCGCCGGCGAAGCGCGUGCGCGGUGCCUGCUCCGGGGGCGAGCUCCAUGCCGCGGUCCCCGCCAACAUCAAGGGUAGCAGCAAGCUUUCGUGUCCCAGCAGCGGCAAGGAUCCCAAGAGUCCGACCUGCCUCCACUCCUCCGGGAUCAAGAACCAGGUCGCCGGAUCUCCGGCGAGCGCGACGCAAUCGAAGCCGCAGAUGAGCAUGCGCGAACUGAUCGAGAAAGCUCGCCUCACCAUGGCUCGCCUCGACAAGGCUCGCUCUGCCUCCAAAGAAGAGGCUAACCGUCGGCAGGAGAUCGAGCGCAGCAGAGCAGAGGCCCGGCGAAAGAUGGAGCAGAUGGCGGACACGGUGCAGUUCAACGACCCCUGGAUCCAUCACUCCGACGUGACCAAGUCCCCUGAGGAGCUGCUCAAAGCAAGACAGCACGCAUGGCGUUAUCAAGCUCACCUCCUCGAGAUGGCUCGUCGACAGGACUUUGCUCAAGCGAUGCAAAUCCACGGAUGA